AUAUCUGGAUGAUAAGGCUUGAGCUGACUGACAUGGAACACAGGGUGUACUCCCAUCCAAGCUGGCGUGUCGACUUUGUAAGCAACCAUCCCCACUUUGGCGAUGACUGGAACUGGGCCUUCAUAUUUACGCAUCAGUCUCUUGUCAUGGUUAGGAAAUCUGAAUUGAUCGGAGGUGAGCCUGAUCAGUACUAAAUCUCCGACUUCAAAGGUGAGUGGUCGGCGGUCUU
rnacentral:lncRNA from 1 species